GCCUCAUUAGCUUAAACUUAAAGCACUGGUCUUGUAAGCCAGACAUGAGCCCAACCAGGCACAUGAGGCA
rnacentral:tRNA from 1 species